rnacentral:rRNA from 1 species
UACGAAGGGGGCUAGCGUUGUUCGGAAUUACUGGGCGUAAAGCGCGCGCAGGCGGUCUUCCAAGUCAGUGGUGAAAUCCUGGAGCUCAACUCCAGAACUGCCUUUGAUACUGGGGAUCUCGAGUCCGGGAGAGGUGAGUGGAACUGCGAGUGUAGAGGUGAAAUUCGUAGAUAUUCGCAAGAACACCAGUGGCGAAGGCGGCUCACUGGCCCGGUACUGACGCUGAGGUGCGAAAGCGUGGGGAGCAAACAGG